UGCCAGCCGCCGCGGUAAUACGUAAGUCGCAAGCGUUAAUCGGAAUUACUGGGCGUAAAGCGCACGCAGGCGGUUUGUUAAGCUAGAUGUGAAAGCCCCGGGCUCAACCUGGGAUGGUCAUUUAGAACUGGCAGACUAGAGUUUUGGAGAGGGGAGUGGAAUUCCAGGUGUAGCGGUGAAAUGCGUAGAUAUCUGGAGGAACAUCAGUGACGAAGGCGGCUCCCUGGCCAAAGACUGACGCUCAUGUGCGAAAGUGUGGGUAGCGAACGGGAUUAGAUA
rnacentral:rRNA from 1 species